UGAAUUUCUAAACACUGGGGCCUGUAGGUGUUAAUUAUGUUUUGAUGCAAAAACCUAGAAUUAAAUAUCUGUGUUUUCUUUAAAAAAUAGUGAGUUUCUAAACGUGCAACCUUUUGUUUACCUAAAUUGCUCUCUUUUGUGGUAUGAACAGGAAAUACGGUAGCUGCUUUAAACAGGAAACACAAUGAAGAAAUAUCACUCAGUAUAUCAUGAACAUAAACAACAAGCCAAGUGAGUACUAACCAUCUAGACUGGAGCAGUGUUUUGUCUAUUGCGGAUACUGACAGCAGCAUGAUCUCAUUGGUCUAAAGGGCACAGGUUACAGUUCUGAAUCAUAUUCUAUUUUUUCAUUUGGAAAGGAUCAUUUGAUUGUUUGAGACUCAUAUGCCACUUGACACACAUCUGAGUGACUGUUCAUCUUGGAGGGUGAGAAGCAGACUCCAGGAAUUACCAAGCUGGGCAGUGUAAAAGAUGCAGACUGUGUGUGUCAAGUGGAUUCAAGGGGAAACCUAUGCCAAGGGCAGGUCGAAGAAGUCCCCUGGGUCCACAUUGUCAAUACCUUUUAG